AUGUCAUGCCACCCAAAGGCGAUUUGUCAACUGGACGCUCUCUCUUCGGAGUUUUAUUGCCAUUGCUUGCCAGGCUACGACGGAGAUGGGAUCAAUCUUUGCCAAGCCCCCGCUUUCCACAUUACCGUUUCUGACGCUUCCGUUUGUGACGGGAUGGGCGAGCAGGUGUGCCUCCUCCACUUGAAAGAGCCACGCGUCGCUUUCCACGUCUCCGUCUCGUCUCCCGCCCACCGACGUUCGCCCAGCGUGAUCUGGUACAAGUUUUACAACGGGCAAAGCCCGCAGUACCACAGAUAAAAGGCUGCUUCCAACUAAUUCGAUCCAACAAGGAAGAGCCUUGCCAAGUUUUUGCAAGGCUGUCAAGAACAACAGAUAAAGUUCCUAAAGAGUCUCCAAACACCAACUCAGAUAUUCUAAUGCCCACCAGACUUGAGUGCCAAACUUCUUUGCCUUCUGCACAGAACUGCUUUUAUCUUCUCAGGGAGGGGCCAUUACCUUCCAGCCUUACUCCUGAGUUUCCCGUGCUGCUGCAGCUGCUCUUUCCUUCGAGCAGCCCUGCGUGCACUGGGCACGGGGUUCCUCGGGGUCCUCUGCAUCAUUGCUGCCAGCCUCCACAAUCUCCAAAGGCAGCACUUCCCUGAUGGUCCUGGCCCCAUCCCUGCAUCACACGCAGGCCCCUCAUCUGAGUCCUCACUCUCCGAGACUUCAGCCGUCCGCACCUGCUGCCAGCGAACCAGAACAAAAUAAAGCCAACUCUGGCAUACGUCAUUUACAGUCCCUGGGACCCUGUUUCCCCUCUUCCCCCUGGGUGUGUCAUCAAUCAGAUUCUCCAAUGAAGCACCUUCAUGGGCUGGGUGUCAUCAAUCAUGUUCUCCAAUAAAGGCAAAAGAUCCGGUAGCCUAGGCUACAAUCUUUUAAUUACAUUUAUAUGCAGCCUUCUCCGAAGACUCAGGGCGGCUUACAAUCCUUUGGGAUACAACCCAGUGUGCUCAGCAAUAGCCUUCCUUCCAUUGUAUAUACCUGCUUAUUACUACGCGGCAUUUUUACAAGGUCAGCUAAUUGCCCCCAACAAUCUUGGGUCCUCAAUUUACCUACCCCGAGAGGAUGGAAGGCUGAGUCCACCUUGAGCCUGGUGGGAUUCGAGCCUACAGCAGUUGUAGGCAGCUGGAACUUAAGUGCAGGCAAUUAACAGCCUGAGCCACCAAGGCCCUUUUUAAGAUAAGAGUGGAAUGCACUUCUGGUUUUAAACUGCUGUGAUGCUCCUUCAGGUUUCUCCCCUUCCCUUGUUUAUGGCAACUCGAAAAUAGGCAUGGGAAUGUUUUACGAGUUGACAAACAGCACUGAAAAAAAACAACUUACGACUGUUUUUCACACUUAACGACUUUCGCAGCCUCCCCAGGAGCAAUGUGAACCAAAUUCACAUGCUUGGCAAGUGGUUCGUAUUUAUGACGGUCCCCGAUCCCCUGUUGCGACCUUCAACGGGGGAAGCCAGAUUCGUUUAAUGAUUGUGUUGCUUGUUUCGCCACUGCAGUGAUCGACUUAAGAGCGGCAAGGAAGGUGGUAAAACAGGAUCGUAAAACUCACUUAACAAAGGUCUCCCUUAGCAACAUAUAUUUUGGGCUCAGUUCUGGUCGUAAGUUAAGGGAGACCUAUACUUUUUUUUUUUUAACAAAGCGUUUUUUUUCUUCCUCGUAGCUACCGGCAGUUGGGAUCCGUGGGAAACAGGACUGUGAGGAUAACGGUGCACAACCGCAGCCGUAUCCUGACCCUCCUCUCAAUCCAGGAUGACGAUUUUUACCCCAAUCUUUUCUGGGCAGAAGUGAGGCCCGUGCCCUGACCCCCAAAACUCUGGGAAUUGAAGCUUAUGACUUAACCCGCUCUCAAGUGUUAAACCCUUCUGGACUGAGGUUUUAUUUCGCCCUGGAGGGAGAAUCGAUUGGUAAGAUGGAGCAAGUGCUGAGAAAGGCGCCGUCUGGCAGUUAGGCAGGUGUAGAAUAGGUGAUACCUGGCUCAAUAGAAGUAACUGGGAGAGGGAUUUUUGGAGUCCUGGUGGACGACCACUUAAAUAGGAGCUGGCCGUGUGCUGCAGCAGCCAAAAAGGCCAAUGCAAUCCUUAGCUGCAUUAACAGAG
rnacentral:lncRNA from 1 species